AGAGUUUGAUCAUGGCUCAGGACGAACGCUGGCGGCGUGCCUAAUACAUGCAAGUCGAGCGGACCUCUUCGGAGGUUAGCGGCGGACGGGUGAGUAACACGUGGGCAACCUGCCUGUAAGACUGGGAUAACUCCGGGAAACCGGAGCUAAUACCGGAUACUAUGUCAAACCGCAUGGUUUGACAUUCAAAGACGGUUUCGGCUGUCACUUACAGAUGGGCCCGCGGCGCAUUAGCUAGUUGGUGAGGUAACGGCUCACCAAGGCGACGAUGCGUAGCCGACCUGAGAGGGUGAUCGGCCACACUGGGACUGAGACACGGCCCAGACUCCUACGGGAGGCAGCAGUAGGGAAUCUUCCGCAAUGGACGAAAGUCUGACGGAGCAACGCCGCGUGAGUGAUGAAGGUUUUCGGAUCGUAAAACUCUGUUGUCAGGGAAGAACAAGUGCCGGAGUAACUGCCGGCGCCUUGACGGUACCUGACCAGAAAGCCACGGCUAACUACGUGCCAGCAGCCGCGGUAAUACGUAGGUGGCAAGCGUUGUCCGGAAUUAUUGGGCGUAAAGCGCGCGCAGGCGGUUUCUUAAGUCUGAUGUGAA
rnacentral:rRNA from 2 species